rnacentral:rRNA from 1 species
UGCCAUGCGGCAGCUUACCAUGCAAGUCGAGCGGGGAAAGGUAGCUUGCUACCUAACCUAGCGGCGGACGGGUGAGUAAUGCUUAGGAAUCUGCCUAUUAGUGGGGGACAACAUUCCGAAAGGAAUGCUAAUACCGCAUACGCCCUACGGGGGAAAGCAGGGAAUCUUCGGACCUUGCGCUAAUAGAUGAGCCUAAGUCAGAUUAGCUAGUUGGUGGGGUAGAGGCCUACCAAGGCGACGAUCUGUAGCGGGUCUGAGAGGAUGAUCCGCCACACUGGGACUGAGACACGGCCCAGACUCCUACGGGAGGCAGCAGUGGGGAAUAUUGGACAAUGGGCGAAAGCCUGAUCCAGCCAUGCCGCGUGUGUGAAGAAGGCCUUUUGGUUGUAAAGCACUUUAAGCGAGGAGGAGGCUACCGAGAUUAAUACUCUUGGAUAGUGGACAUUACUCGCAGAAUAAGCACCGGCUAACUCUGUGCCAGCAGCCGCGGUAAUACAGAGGGUGCGAGCGUUAAUCGGAUUUACUGGGCGUAAAGCGUGCGUAGGCGGCUUUUUAAGUCGGAUGUGAAAUCCCUGAGCUUAACUUAGGAAUUGCAUUCGAUACUGGGAAGCUAGAGUAUGGGAGAGGAUGGUAGAAUUCCAGGUGUAGCGGUGAAAUGCGUAGAGAUCUGGAGGAAUACCGAUGGCGAAGGCAGCCAUCUGGCCUAAUACUGACGCUGAGGUACGAAAGCAUGGGGAGCAAACAGGAUUAGAUACCCUGGUAGUCCAUGCCGUAAACGAUGUCUACUAGCCGUUGGGGCCUUUGAGGCUUUAGUGGCGCAGCUAACGCGAUAAGUAGACCGCCUGGGGAGUACGGUCGCAAGACUAAAACUCAAAUGAAUUGACGGGGGCCCGCACAAGCGGUGGAGCAUGUGGUUUAAUUCGAUGCAACGCGAAGAACCUUACCAGGUCUUGACAUACUCGUGCUAUUCCUAGAGAUAGGAAGUUCCUUCGGGACACGGGAUACAGGUGGUGCAUGGUUGUCGUCAGCUCGUGUCGUGAGAUGUUGGGUUAAGUCCCGCAACGAGCGCAACCCCUAUCGUUAGUUGCCAUCAUUAAGUUGGGCACUCUAACGAGACUGCCGGUGAUAAACCGGAGGAAGGUGGGGAUGACGUCAAAUCAUCAUGCCCCUUAUGACCUGGGCUACACACGUGCUACAAUGGAUGGUACAACGAGUCGCGAGACAGUGAUGUUUAGCUAAUCUCUUAAAACCAUUCUCAGUUCGGAUUGUAGGCUGCAACUCGCCUACAUGAAGUCGGAAUCGCUAGUAAUCGCGGAUCAGCACGCCGCGGUGAAUACGUUCCCGGGCCUUGUACACACCGCCCGUCACACCACGGGAGUUGGGAGUACCCGAAGUAGGUUGCCUAACCGCAAGGAGGGCGCUCCUAAGUAGACCCAUGG